AAUGAACGUUGGCGGCGUGGAUUAGGCAUGCAAGUCGAGCGAGAACCCCGCAAGGGGGGACAGCGGCAAACGGGGUAGUAAUGUGUCGGAACGUGCCCAGAGGACGGGGAUAGCGGCGGGAAACUGCCGGUAAUACCCGAUGAUCUCGAGAGAGCAAAGGUGUGAUUCCGCCUUUGGAGCGGCCGACAUGGUAUUAGCUAGUUGGCGGGGUAACGGCCCACCAAGGCUGUGAUGCCUAGGGGAUGUGAGAGCAUGAUCCCCACCAUUGGGACUGAGACACUGCCCAGACACCUACGGGUGGCUGCAGUCGAGAAUCUUCGUCAAUGGGCGAAAGCCUGAACGAGCGACGCCGCGUGCGGGAUGAAGGCCUUUGGGUUGUAAACCGCUGUCGAGGGGGAUGAAGGCAUUCAGGUUCUCCUGAAUGUUUGGCAGAGCCCUGGAGGAAGCACGGGCUAAGUUCGUGCCAGCCGCCGCAGUAA
rnacentral:rRNA from 1 species